UUUUGGUAUCCAGGGUACCUCUGAGUAGUAGAUUUUUGAUCUCUAGCCCAUCCUCAAAACUGAAAACCAGUCCUCCAUUUCUCCAGGGCUUACCUUUUCAUCACUUGAAGACCAGUGGUUACGUGAUUUGGACCCACUGAGGAACGUAGAAUGAUAUCAGUUCAAAAGUAUUGGAUACCUGUGGAGCACUUUGCAAGAUAUUGCAGGAUUUUUGGGGCUUUCUAUAGAACUACACAGAAGUAUUGCUGAGUACUUUGCAAUGUGAAUUCCUGCAAUUUGCAGGAAUUUGCCACGCUUUUCAGGUGAUCAUACCAGGCAUUGAGUGCCACAAUAUGAAAACUUGACUGCAUCCUCAGGACACUAGAGAUCACGGCCAUGUGAUAAUGCCAGGCGUGGGCGGGAUAUAACAUGCACCAUGUCUGUGCAGGUGAAGUGGCCAUGAAAGACUACAAAACUUUUCUAAGCAGCAGGUUAAAGCAUUGAAGAAAGAAAGCUGUUAAAAGAUGGCUACUGUGAGGCUAUCACUUCAAUGUCUGUCUUGUGUGGCUUUCCUCUCGAGGCUGUGGUGGGAAUUUGUUUUGUAUCGCUCUCCAAUCACAAUGGAGUUAAUUUGCACCAAUUUCAUUUUUUGUGAUCAUGGUGAAGACAGCAGUAAGAUCUUAUAUAACAGAAGACAGAAAAAGACAGAGUGGGAGUCACGUGGAGAUGCACACACAUAUUAGUGACAGAAUACAAAAACAAUCUUGU